UCCGAACUUACUAACCCAGCUUUGGUUUCUCUGGCUUAAACUAAUCUGGGAGCAGGGUAUCAUGUGCCCGCUCACCUAUUGGUGCGGCUGGUGGAUACAGAGAGAUCAACGAUGAGGAGACCCUCGUCGUUCUUCUGAUUGCAGCCAGUUGCGUGAUGUGAUGGCGGAGUUGUUCUGCAACCGCCUAGGGGCCAUGGACGAUGGAGAACUUCCUAACGCAGUAUGCGAGCGGGGACGAUGGAGAACUUCCUGGCGCAGUGUGCACGCGAGUGGGUUUCAGGACAGUUCAUGAUACAAGGUCAAGCUCAGCUUGGUGUAAGUUCCAAAUAUAUAUUGUGCCUCAGUUUGAGUUGCAUCCACAAGCAGCUCUCACUAAUUCCAAUACACCUUAAAUUGAUUUGGAUCAUUAAUGUUGGACUGUGGACAUAUAUCUAUAUCCGAUUGUACUCCGGGUGUUUUCAAUUCUGAAAUAUUUUUUGGCAAUUUGAUUCUGAAAUUUUAGCUUGAUGUUGAGAAAACGAGCAAAUUUUGUGGUGCACUUGGAUCAGGUUUUAUGCUUACAGUUUCAAGGGGAAACAUUCGGGGUUGUGAUCCAAGUAUAUGAAAUCAGUUUAUCUAAAUUGAGUUGUCGACAGUACAUCCUCUAAAUUAGCUUAUCUGAAAUCAGUUUGUUUUUAUUAAUUGUUGCGCAGGGGGCAUGAUAGCCAUGGCCAACUUUGAGCCCAGCAUCAAGUUGGAAAGCUUUAUCUGAGAUGUGUUUUUUAGCUAUGCCCUUUUAUGUCUUAGUUUGGUCUCUGAAUUUUCGGGCGGCGCUUAUCAUUUAAGAUCAACACAGCACUUUGCUUCAUUUGUGCUUCAAAGAAAGCUGCUGCAUAGGGACAUUUGAUGUGGUGGAUUUCAGAGAAUCAUUUUAGGGUAUUGCAUUCCGUUCAGAAAUUUUGACAUUUGGACAGUGUGUACAAUUGAAAGGAAUAGCUGGAUAUGAGUUAUUUAGGUUCAACGUUUCAACUUGUUGACAAUUUUUUAUGUUUAUCCUGGCAGAAAAGUGGAGCAGCUGUGUGAAGAGGUUGCUUAAUUGAAGGGAAUCAUCGAGAAGAUGUUACUAUCUUUCAUGCAUAAAAAUAAUUUUGGAGGAUGCAUGGAUCAAAGAGAUUAUGGAUUACCACAAGCUUAUGUGUAUCCAUGGGAGUUAUCUGUGUAUUAGAAUAUGGAUACACAUGUAACUAUAGCUUCAUUGCCCACCUAUUUUUGAUUUUUAUGCAGUUUUUAUUGCUUAAAAUUUUAUAUUAAUCUUCUUCCGUUGCAAUGCAUGGGUAUUU
rnacentral:lncRNA from 1 species